rnacentral:ncRNA from 1 species
UUUAAGAUAGCCAGCGUUGGACUGAGUCCCGCAGUGGAGCACGGGAAAUGUGGUGUACAGAAGACCCACCCCGGUGUCACCCGUGGGGGCCAAAGUCCCUCUGAUGGAGGCCUCGCCUGUGGACCGUGCGAGGCCGGCAGCCGCCCCUGGUGCACUGGGCUCGGGCCCUCCCGGAGCCGGGCUGCUUGGGAAUGAAGCCCAAAGCAGGUGGUAAACUCCAUCUGAGGCUAAAUAUUGGCAACCGAUAGUUAACGAGCACCGAAAGGGAAAGUUGAAAAGAACCUUGAAGAAAGAAUUCUGGGGGCUAGUUGGAGGGGAGGAGUUAGGAGGCGAGUUUAGAUUGGUUGACAGACAA